GAUAAACGCUGGCGGCGUGCAUAACACAUGCAAGUCGAACGAUGAAGAUUAACAGUUUUCUUCUGCAUGAAUUUCAUUGGGUUAGUUGCGGCCUGGUUAGUAACGCGUGAGUAACCUGCCUUGUACAAGGGGAUAGCCCUUGGAACCGACGAAUAAUACCCUAUGACAUCAAAUAAUCGCAUGUUACUUUGAUCAACGAUUUAUCGGUAUAAGAUGGACUCGCGUCUGAUUAGCUAGCUGGUAGAGUAAAAGACUACCAAGGCAACGAUCAGUAGCCGGCGGGAGAGAGGGUACAGUGACAUUGAGACAGAGACAAGACCCAGACGGCUACGAGAAGCAGCAAAGAGGAAUUAUGCACAAUGAGCGAAAUCCAGAAGCAGCGAGGCCGCGAGAUUUAGAAGGCCUUCGGGUUGUAAAAAUCUUUUGUAUGAAGAGAAAAUGACAGUACCAGACGAAUAAGGACCGGCUAAUUACGUG
rnacentral:rRNA from 1 species